GGAGAGGUGGCAGAGUGGUCGAAUGCGCUCGACUUGAAAUCGAGUGACUCGAAAGAGUCCGUGGGUUCGAAUCCCACCCUCUCCG
rfam:Microcoleus sp. PCC 7113, complete genome.